AUGUCCAUCGCUCUGUCCAUCGAGGCUCUCAUGGAGAUGGGCGCCAAGACCAUGUACAUGCCAGGCAUCUUCCCCAUCGGGCGCACCCCGCGGUACCUCUUCCUCUUCCCCGGCGACGUCCGCGACCCUGCGAAGGGCUGCCUCUGGUGGCUCAACGAUCUCGCCCUUGUCCACAACCGCAUGCUGAAAUCCAAGCUCGACGAGCUCCGCCACAACCACCCCAACAUUUCCAUCACCUACGUCGACUACUAUGGCGAGGUACCCGGCCUUGUCACCAAGCCGACGGAGAAUGGGUUCGGCGUGGAGACGGUGCUCAAUGCAUGCUACCCCAUCUUGAUCCCCGGUCGCGCGGGGACGGUUGCGCACGAUACAGCAAGCAUAAAUGGUUUUCGCUUUGACGGGCCGGCCCAGUCGUGCGUCACUCGUGUGCGUCGAGUUUCGCGUUUGACGCAGAAUGCGUCGUAUAGGAGGUCCCACGGUGUGGUGCCUGGACCCGUCGAGCUUGCUAGUGAUAAUGUUUAUACAACAUCGAGGGAUGAUCCAAAAUGGUCACUGGCCUUUGGCCCCGGGCGAGUUGGUCUGGUCGCGCUAGUAGAGCCUGUGCGCGUCCCUGUCUGGGUAUGGCGCGUGACAGGUGGUCCGAGAGGGCCAUUCGGAUAG
rnacentral:rRNA from 1 species